AUUGAACGCUGGCGGCAGGCCUAACACAUGCAAGUCGAGCGGAUGAAGGGAGCUUGCUCCUGGAUUCAGCGGCGGACGGGUGAGUAAUGCCUAGGAAUCUGCCUGGUAGUGGGGGAUAACGUCCGGAAACGGGCGCUAAUACCGCAUACGUCCUGAGGGAGAAAGUGGGGGAUCUUCGGACCUCACGCUAUCAGACGAGCCUAGGUCGGAUUAGCUAGUUGGUGGGGUAAAGGCCUACCAAGGCGACGAUCCGUAACUGGUCUGAGAGGAUGAUCAGUCACACUGGAACUGAGACACGGUCCAGGCUCCUACGGGACGCAGCAGUGGGGAAUAUUGGACAAUGGGCGAGAGCCUGAUCCAGCCAUGCCGCGUGUGUGAAAAAGGUCUUCGGAUUGUAAAGCACUUUAAGUUGGGAGGAAGGGCAGUAAGUUAAUACCUUGCUGUUUUGACGUUACCAGCAGAAUAAGCACCGGCUAACUUCGUG
rnacentral:rRNA from 1 species